rnacentral:lncRNA from 1 species
AUCACACAUUAUAUACAUCAAAGUUUUCACUUAAGCUCUAAUAACUAUCUCGGCUAAGAGAUAAUCUACUGAUUUCUGUUAGUAUUCUAAACUCUGGCAAAGCUAAUGUUCCGGAAGCAUCGUGAUAUUUCCCUUCUGCGGGAAUGACCUCUUUCAAAAUGAAUGUGCACAGGUACUCAACUAUGCCAUACAAUGCACCUUCAGUUAAGUUCUCCGGGCUUUCUUGUUGAAAUUUCUGUAAAGAAAGUUUAUAAACAUCAUCUAUUUAUACUCAAUAAUAACACAUUUACAUCUUUAAUGACAUAAAUACAUACGUGACUAUUACUAAUAAUACCUUGCCAGAGUUCGUGAUGUAUCGUCCGUUCAUUCUCAUGAACUCGCACACGUAGAACCCACAUAGGACCGAUCCGGGUGGUUGCUUGUGGCACUACAUAACGGGAGAUUGGUUAUUUAGUUGCAAUAUUGUCCUAUGUACGUAUAUGUAUGAUAUAUAUUCAUAAAUUCACAUACUUACCGGCCAGUUAUAAUGGAUGUUAGUGGCACGCCUUUUUUGGACGUGUCGUACUUUCCACCUUGUAGCUUAUAAAACCUAAAUGUCAUGUGAUCUCAAAUAGAAUCACUAUGUUAUUCUACAAUUCUCAUCGAUAUAAGUAUGCAUGCAUAGAAAAGGCUUACAGCUCUAAGAUGCUGAGGAAUUUUGAAUAGGCCGAAAGCUCGG